rnacentral:lncRNA from 1 species
CAAAAAUGGACAAGAUGAAGUACAAUCCUGAAGAAAUUUUUCUUUGUCUUAUCAGCUAAACAUCACUUUUCCUCAGACACUCCAUCAACUGGCUCAACAAGUCAUCCUGCAUUUAAACGUGGAUUAAGAUUCCCUGCUCCAAAUUAGGCUGACUACGUCUAAAGCCAUGUAACUUUGAGAAGCAGGUACCUGUGUAGC